GCUACGGGCCUGAUCCAAAACCCACUGAAGUCCACAGAAAUGUUCCCACUGACUUCAGUGGGUUUUGGAUCAGGCCCUAUGAGC
rnacentral:pre_miRNA from 1 species